CCCGGGGUAUGCAGAAGGGCCCAGCCGGGACAGCAGCCACUGCAUUUCUUUGGCUUGCGCUGCAGUCCGGAUGGAGCUCGGUUCUGACCCAGAACAUGAGAUCGGGUUCUCAUUAAUUCAGCCCAGGGCCUUGCACACGCGCCCCGCCCCUGCUUGAAGUGGCUCACCCCGGACUUUCAGGAUCUCACACGAAGUGCUUCGCUUUCCCCUGCAGGGAUGCAACCCUGUGAAGCUCAGAGCACUUCCUGGUUGGAAUCCUACAACAUGUCCAUGGUGAGCUGCAGCUCGGUUUCUUUGAGUGCAAUUUCAAUGUCAGUGCCAUUGCUCUGCAUCAGGACUGAACCAGUGACCACCUGGGUCUCAGAUAAGCAGAAGGAUUUGCAUCCUAGAUUUUCAAGCCAGUUGUUCUAUUUUUUUUAUUUCUGAUUACAGCAGAAAGACGUAGUUACAUUAUCUUUUAAAAUGUGAACAAAACAAAGUGCAAGGUCUGGUCGACCUUCACACACACUCCCCAGAGGCAGCCACUGUCAUCCAUUGAGUGUGGCAUCUUCCUAACCUCCUGGGUAUGGUUUCAUGCAUGUACCUGUGGCGGGGAGAAAGCUAGGUUUUUUUGUUGUUGUUCUUUUGCAUAAACAUGAUUGUAUUUUAAAAUUUAUUCUACAACUUGUUUUCUUCAAUUAACAGUACAUCUCAAAGAUCUUUUUAUGUCUGUAUCCUUAUUUCUUUUUAACUAUUGCAGUCUUUUAUACCUGAACUCAUUUAACCAUUCUCUUGUUGUUAAUUCUAAUUUUUAAAGCCAAGUUUUUCUUAAUCCCCCUCAAGUCCCAAUUUUGUUGUAGCUGGUUAGAUUCUGAACAGCCUCUGGGCCUAAAGAUUCAAGUCACCAGGAAAUGAAAUCCUUAUGGUCAAGAGUUCCACCUAGCUCCAUAUUCUUCCCAUACUACAAGCCCAAAGCCCUGGCAAGCUGUGAAACUGGAGUCCCUCCUCCCAAGAGGAAAGAGUGGGAAAGAGGAUGCCCACAUAGGGCCAAAAUGGGCUGAUGACGACUUUACUCCUCAGAACAUUGCUCAGAGCUGAGGACAUCUCUGUAACUUUAAAAGCCUCCUAAUUCCCUCCAAGAAUCUGCAUGGCUGAGAUCCCUUCUGAAGAGGUGAAGCUGGUGAAACUUUCUCUUCCUUGAGGCCCUGGUGACCCUCAUGACUCAGUCCUUCCCCAGGCCCACCCCUCACUUCCAACACCCACAAGUAUCUCCCAGGGUUGAAACCUCUACUUCAGAACGCAGACUUGGAAUUGAAUUGCAGGGAAAUGGUGGGCACAUCCUGUGGGUACUUGUGAAACACAUGGACCUCAGAUCCUCAGAUAACCCUAAAAGAAAUGAUGUGGGCUGGCCACGGACUGGUCUAGGGACAGUGUCACUUCAGGCAAAAUGAGAGGUAGAGAAUCAGGGUAGAAAUCAGCAGAUUACAGGCACAAUUCCACAAGGGAAUGUGCUGACUUCGUGACCCUUAACUCCAUGCCCUUUCUACCCAGCUCCAAAAGGAAUUCACUUGCCUUUUCUCCAGCUACAACUAAAGAGUCUGUGGAAGGAGAAAUAGGUAAAAGUCUCAUCCCAUGAAUUUCAGACACAUCUCUGGCGCACCCAGCAUUUUGUACAUUAGCCAAAAAGCACAUAUUCCUAGUUGAAUACAAUCACACACAUAUAACACAAAUGGAGUCAUGUUCACAAUCAGGACACCAAACUGAAUCUAUGUUGAAGAUGUUCUGUAUUCUAACACCCAACAGAAUAAUGCACUGGAGCCAUACCGGACAAACAACUUACAAAAAUGGAUCUCAGACUGGAAAAUACAUUUGAAAAAAAUGCAAUCUCACUAGUCAUAAAAAAACAUACAAAAUUUUAAACCGGG
rnacentral:lncRNA from 1 species